CUAUCUACAGGCUUAACACAUGCAAGUCGAGGGGCAGCAUGGUCUUAGCUUGCUAAGGCCGAUGGCGACCGGCGCACGGGUGAGUAACACGUAUCCAACCUGCCGUCUACUCUUGGACAGCCUUCUGAAAGGAAGAUUAAUACAAGAUGGUAUCAUGAGUCCGCAUGUUCACAUGAUUAAAGGUAUUCCGGUAGACGAUGGGGAUGCGUUCCAUUAGAUAGUAGGCGGGGUAACGGCCCACCUAGUCUUCGAUGGAUAGGGGUUCUGAGAGGAAGGUCCCCCACAUUGGAACUGAGACACGGUCCGAACUCCUACGGGAGGCAGCAGUGAGGAAUAUUGGUCAAUGGGCGAGAGCCUGAACCAGCCAAGUAGCGUGAAGGAUGACUGCCCUAUGGGUUGUAAACUUCUUUUAUAAAGGAAUAAAGUCGGGUAUGGAUACCCGUUUGCAUGUACUUUAUGAAUAAGGAUCGGCUAACUCCGUGCCAGCAGCCGCGGUAAUACGGAGGAUCCGAGCGUUAUCCGGAUUUAUUGGGUUUAAAGGGAGCGUAGAUGGAUGUUUAAGUCAGUUGUGAAAGUUUGCGGCUCAACCGUAAAAUUGCAGUUGAUACUGGAUAUCUUGAGUGCAGUUGAGGCAGGCGGAAUUCGUGGUGUAGCGGUGAAAUGCUUAGAUAUCACGAAGAACUCCGAUUGCGAAGGCAGCCUGCUAAGCUGCAACUGACAUUGAGGCUCGAAAGUGUGGGUAUCAAACAGGAUUAGAUACCCUGGUAGUCCACACGGUAAACGACGAAUACUCGCUGUUUGCGAUAUACUGCAAGCGGCCAAGCGAAAGCGUUAAGUAUUCCACCUGGGGGAGUACGCCGGCAACGGUGAAACUCAAAGGAAUUGACGGGGGGCCCGCCACAAGCGGAGGAACAUGUGGUUUAAUUCGAUGAUACGCGAGGAACCUUACCCGGGCUUAAAUUGCAGAUGAAUUACGGUGAAAGCCGUAAGCCGCAAGGCAUCUGUGAAGGUGCUGCAUGGUUGUCGUCAGCUCGUGCCGUGAGGUGUCGGCUUAAGUGCCAUAACGAGCGCAACCCUUGUUGUCAGUUACUAACAGGUUCCGCUGAGGACUCUGACAAGACUGCCAUCGUAAGAUGUGAGGAAGGUGGGGAUGACGUCAAAUCAGCACGGCCCUUACGUCCGGGGCUACACACGUGUUACAAUGGGGGGUACAGAGGGCCGCUACCACGCGAGUGGAUGCCAAUCCCCAAAACCUCUCUCAGUUCGGACUGGAGUCUGCAACCCGACUCCACGAAGCUGGAUUCGCUAGUAAUCGCGCAUCAGCCACGGCGCGGUGAAUACGUUCCCGGGCCUUGUACACACCGCCCGUCAAGCCAUGGGAGCCGGGGGUACCUGAAGUGCGUAACCGCGAGGAGCGCCCUAGGGUAAAACUGGUGACUG
rnacentral:rRNA from 1 species